rnacentral:snoRNA from 1 species
GUUGCUUCAUAAUGGUGAAAUCUCUUAAAAGUUAAAUGAGAGAAUUUCAAGUUUCCGGAGCAUAGAUUAAGUAUUUUAUAUCGGCAGUAUUAAACAGCUCCAUGUGUAUACAAUUGCAUCGGCGUUACCUGUCUCCUGCCACAUUU